ACCGGACUUCUUGGACGUGGUAACGAUUCUUUUCCUCUUCUUCUUCUCCGGCUUCUCCCUCUUCCUCUUUUCUUUUCGUAUGUUGGGGCGGUGAUUAUAGAUGGCUUGUGCUUCUCCUAUUCUUUGCAUGCCUCCUCCUCCUCCUUCUCUAGCGAUGGGGCGAGCAGAGAAGAAGACACGGUGGGAUCUUUUUCCUAGGUCGGCUUCUGGUUUUCUUGAUCAAGAUUGGUUGGUCUUCUCUUCUUCUUCUCCCUCUACUUGUUCUUGGACUUCCAUGUGGAUAAUGGCCGUGAUAUUGUGCUUCUUUGUUAUCUUUUUGUCUUUCUUCUUUUAUGUUUCUUCUCUCUUGCUUUUCUCCUUCUUCUUUGUUCCCCAAAUUGGGAGAGCGGCAUUGCUUUUGGGUUCCAUACAAGAGGCCGUGAUGAUUCCUGGACGAGGGUUUUUUAUGACGUUUAGAGCAGAAAAUGACCUUGACAGCGAGGUAAUCUUGGAUGGUCUUCUGCUGUUCUUCUGCAGGCAUCCGUUUGCAGCCAAUUUGAUUUAUUAGUUGCAGAUCGAUUGGUGAAUCUGAGCCUCCCCCUUCAUCUUCGCCUUCUCUGCUUUUUAAUUGCUUUUUUUUUUUUCAAGUUUCUUUUUUUUAGGGUUUCUUUAAUUUCUUUACCAUGAUUGAUUUUGCCACCGAAGAAUCCAUAGCAAAUUAGAGUUUCAAGAACCCAAAUCCUCAAAUUGCUAUUUAGUCUAUUGAAAAACAAGGAGUUGUAUGGCUUGACCUUAGGUUUUUGUGACAUUCGAGGGAACUACUUGAGUUCCUACGGGUAACAAGGGUUUUGAUCUUCUUCUCAUUGUUCCUUUUUCCUUCAUCGUUCUUUAUUUUCUUUCCUUCUAACGAAAUUGGGAUAAAUGAGAGCUUGGAAAGUCUGUUAUCCUCCAGACCUCGAAGGAAAAUUCUGGGUUGACAUACAAAGCUACCAUUACCAACCGGAGAUGGUUUCUCUAAACCACUGUAGGAGGUGCACAGAAAUUUCUUUAUAGCUGCAAUAGGUGAGGCAUUUCUGGAAGGUCUGCUAUACUGCUGGCAACUGAUCUGUAGCCAUUGCAGGUUGGAUAGAUCAUCUCCUGAGGACAAGAGGAGCAGGGUCUUCUCCUCCUUUUUGUGUGUAUGUAUGUAUUUAUGUAUGUAUAUUGAGGCAAUGAUGGGUGACUUUAAAAUAGUUCAUCUUCUCUUGUUUGCAUGUCCGCUUCUCUAGCAAUAGGCGAGGUAUUUCUGGAAGGUCUGCUAUUCAGUAGGCAACCAAUUUGUGGCCAUUGUUAGACGGAGAGGUCAUCAGCUGAGGUGAAGAGGAGCGGGGAUCCUUUUGGUCUGUUGAUCCAAAUGUUCAUCUAAGCCUCUAAGCCCAAAGUCCAUGGUUACCUAUUUAUUAUCAGAAGGUCCUUCGUCUUUAUUGUUCUUGGUGGACUAUCAAACAAACUGAGCAGCUUGAGCUCUCAUCUCUAGAAAAACUCAGAUAAAGCUUUGUUCCAAGCUAAACAAAUUGAACUUGAACCAGAAAAACAGGCUUGAAAUAAUUUCAGUUGGAGCCAGAAAUCAGCCUAGCUCAAAAUUAAGCUCAAAAUAAUGGUAACAAAUCAAGCUUGAUCUCUAGGUUGCAGCUUGAAAUUAAUUUCAUGUGCUGUUUGAUUAGACCAAAGAUCAAUCAAUUUGUACUCAAUUACACUCCUGUUUCUUGCUCUUCUGUUGGGUAAUGGCCAUGCUGUUUGUGCUUUUUCUCAAUUCAUCUUGCCCUUUUCAUUCUUCUCUGUUGCUUUUGUUCCUACUCUUUUUCCCCCAAAUUGGGAAAGCAGCAUUGCUUUUAGGCUUAUAUGAAGAGGCUGUGAUGAUUCCUGAAUGAGGAUUUUGCUACAUCAUGAAGUGGAAAACUAUUUUGAGCGGCAAGGCAUGGUCUGCUGCUGUUUGGCAGGCAGCCUAUUUGGAGUUGGUUUGAUUUAGUUGCAGAGUGUUCCAAACCAACAUAAUGCUGGGUGAAAUGAAUUCAUAGGAUUUGGAGGCUGAUGAAAGUUUCAGGAUAAUGAUUGUAUCAAUAAAGGAAACAAUGGAAAUAAAAUGUAAAAAUUUUAUGCUUUGCAAGUUGGAAGGUCCAUUGUUCUGCAGGCUACUGUUGCAGCCUGUUGGCGUUUGCACAAUAUUUCUGGCCAGUUUCUCCAGGAACUUUUAGAAGCACCUAUUCCAUGAUGGUGAUGAUCUUACCUCUGUGGAAGUCUGCCCUCUCUAUUAAAACAAUGAUUUGCUUAUGUUACAUACAGCUUCUUAUUGGCAUCAGAGGUGGAAGUUUAUAGGCAUAAAUUAAACAUUGAUCAAGAAGGUGCAGAAGGUUGUGCCACAUCAAUACAUCAUUAAACACCUAUUGUCCUGUAAACUGGCUUUACUUAGUCAUUUUUAAUAUCCUAAGCAAAUAGAAAAAUAUUCAGGUGAGUCAAGUUGCUGAUGCAUAUGAAGAACAUCCUUCAUGACCAUAGCUAUUCACAUAUGCCUGAUGCAAAUUGGAAAUAGGCUAACUAGAGUUUAAAAUCAAAUCAAAUUUCACACUCAUGUUUGACUUAUGCCCAUUUUGGCAUCUUGCCUGAAAGAGCUUUUUCUUUCCUACUAAGCCUACAUAGAAGCUGAAUUAGACCAAUUACCAUUUUUUUUUAAGGUUCUUUGGACACCUCGCACUUCCACCUCUCAUUUCAUACUCAUGUUUGGCCUAUGCCCAUUUUGGCAUCUUGCAUGAAAGAGCUUUUUCUCUCCUGCCAAGCCUACAUAGAAGCUGAAUUAGACCAAUUACCGUUUCUCUUUUAGGUUCUUUGGACACCUCUCACUUACAUCUCUCCCCAACCCCAGCCUCUUUUCUAUCUAGGAUUUGGACGUUUGAUGAAAAAGCCCUUGGAAGUUGCUUCGGGAUAUCUGUCUUCCCAUUUCCCACAACCUUUUCCCUGGACUCCCUUUUCUUUCUUCUUGAUUAAAAGAGAGGUCCUCUCUUUCCAGUGCUUGUGGUGGUUUUUGAGAAUCUAACAUAGUUAUAUUUUGUUGUCAUUGUGAACUGUCAUGAUGGUCCUCCAUUUUGUGUCCCCGACUUUCAUGAUGGUCUGCAUGCUUAUGAGUACGAAACUUCUUUUCAAGAUAGAUGUGCUUUUGGACAAUAUCAAAGUAUGAUAGAAAGAUAUCUUCUGUUUAGAGUUUCCAUCAAGAUACUACUUGCGGGGUCCUACCCAUGUUACUAAGAUCUCACGGGAUGCUGCCUUGCUAUAUUGAGCGUUAUAAGGUAGUAAACAACAUAUACAGACAUAUGCAUUUGAAUUCAUGCAUAUCUUCUUUGUGUUUGAUUGUAUAUGAACUUAAAUUGCUUUUUGACUGGAUUAACCAUGAAACGAAAAGGGAUUUUGAUCA